GACGAACGCUGGCGGCGUGCUUAACACAUGCAAGUCGAACGGGGUUUAGUCGAAAGAUUACUUUUAACUAAACCUAGUGGCGGACGGGUGAGUAACGCGUGGAUAACCUGCCCAUUAGACUGGGAUAACGCCGGGAAACCGGUGCUAAUACCGGAUACGUUCACCGGAUUGCAUAAUCUGGUGAAGAAAGGUGCAAACCGCUAAUGGAUGGGUCCGCGUCCCAUUAGCUAGUUGGUAGGGUAACGGCCUACCAAGGCCACGAUGGGUAGCCGGCCUGAGAGGGCGACCGGCCACACUGGAACUGAGACACGGUCCAGACUCCUACGGGAGGCAG
rnacentral:rRNA from 1 species